GUCCACUGGGUUUUAGCUUCAGUAACUUAUGCAAUGAGCCUUAGAAAUCCACUUAGUUGGACUUUGGGCUUCAAAAUCGGGCUUGCACAUCUUGGCAGAAUGCUACAUGGACCAGGGCGAGUUCUCAAAAGAGGAACAUGUCCUAGGGCAUGUUCUUUGUUGCCCCUUGUCCAUACUUGCCUCCUUUCUUUCUUUAUGAACUCCAGUUGCCCCUAUGGUUAUCUUGACUUACCAUUUGUGAUAUUGGUUAUCUUUACUUACCAUUUGUGAUAUUGCAUAAUAAAACACGUAAAUGAACAUGAUUUGGACAUAAAACAAGGAUUUAAUUAUAAAAUUAGAAAAAUUAGAAUCUAUCUUCAUGGUUUAAACAAAAUCAAAGUGCUAAACAUCUCAUUUCAGGACCUUAGCCCUAAUUAUCUCCAUUUGGUCUCCUAAACAUCUCCU
rnacentral:misc_RNA from 1 species